GCCGCGGUAUUUUGACCGUGCAAAGGUAGCAUAAUCAUUAGUUCAUUAAUUGUGGACUUGUAUGAAUGGUUGGACGAAAUAUUAACUGUCUCAUAUUUAUGAUUAAAAUUUAAAUUUUAAGUUAAAAUGCUUAAAUUUUUUUAUAGGACGAGAAGACCCUAUAGAUCUUUAUUAUUUAAUAAUUAAAUUAGUUUUUGUUUAUUUUUUAUAAAUUUAUUAAAUUUUUUAGUUGGGGUGACUUGAAGAUAUUAUUAACUCUUUAUUUUUAUAUUCAUUGAUUUAUGAAUAGUUGACCUUUUAUUAUUGUUAUAAGAUUUAGAUACCUUAGGGAUAACAGCGUAAUUCUUUUUGAGAGUUCUUAUUGACAAGGGAGAUUGCGACCUCGAUGUUGGAUUAAGAAUAUUGUUAGGUGUAGUAGCUUAAUUUAUAGGUCUGUUCGACCUUUAAAUUCUUACAUGAUCUGAGUUCAAACCGGA
rnacentral:rRNA from 1 species